CUACGGGGCGCACCAGUGGGGAAUAUUGCACAAUGGGCGCAAGCCUGAUGCAGCCAUGCCGCGUGUAUGAAGAAGGCCUUCGGGUUGUAAAGUACUUUCAGCGGGGAGGAAGGUAGUAAAGUUAAUACCUUUGCUCAUUGACGUUACCCGCAGAAGAAGCACCGGCUAACUCGGGUGCCAGCAGCCGCGGUAAUACGGAGGGUGCAAGCGUUAAUCGGAAUUACUGGGCGUAAAGCGCACGCAGGCGGUUUGUUAAGUCAGAUGUGAAAUCCCCGGGCUCAACCUGGGAACUGCAUCUGAUACUGGCAAGCUUGAGUGUGGUAGAGGGGGGUAGAAUUCCAGGUGUAGCGGUGAAAUGCGUAGAGAUCUGGAGGAAUACCGAUGGCGAAGGCGGCCCCCUGGACGAAGACUGACGCUCAGGUGCGAAAGCGUGGGGAGCAAACAGGAUUAGAUACCCCGGUAGUC
rnacentral:rRNA from 1 species